rnacentral:tRNA from 1 species
GCGCCCGUAGCUCAGUUGGAUAGAGCAUCGGAUUUCUAAUCCGGCGGUCGUGGGUUCGAAUCCCGCCGGGCGCG